rnacentral:rRNA from 1 species
UGGCGGCAGGCCUAACACAUGCAAGUCGAGCGGUAGAGAGAAGCUUGCUUCUCUUGAGAGCGGCGGACGGGUGAGUAAUGCCUAGGAAUCUGCCUGGUAGUGGGGGAUAACGCUCGGAAACGGACGCUAAUACCGCAUACGUCCUACGGGAGAAAGCAGGGGACCUUCGGGCCUUGCGCUAUCAGAUGAGCCUAGGUCGGAUUAGCUAGUUGGUGAGGUAAUGGCUCACCAAGGCGACGAUCCGUAACUGGUCUGAGAGGAUGAUCAGUCACACUGGAACUGAGACACGGUCCAGACUCCUACGGGAGGCAGCAGUGGGGAAUAUUGGACAAUGGGCGAAAGCCUGAUCCAGCCAUGCCGCGUGUGUGAAGAAGGUCUUCGGAUUGUAAAGCACUUUAAGUUGGGAGGAAGGGCAUUAACCUAAUACGUUGGUGUCUUGACGUUACCGACAGAAUAAGCACCGGCUAACUCUGUGCCAGCAGCCGCGGUAAUACAGAGGGUGCAAGCGUUAAUCGGAAUUACUGGGCGUAAAGCGCGCGUAGGUGGUUUGUUAAGUUGGAUGUGAAAUCCCCGGGCUCAACCUGGGAACUGCAUUCAAAACUGACAAGCUAGAGUAUGGUAGAGGGUGGUGGAAUUUCCUGUGUAGCGGUGAAAUGCGUAGAUAUAGGAAGGAACACCAGUGGCGAAGGCGACCACCUGGACUGAUACUGACACUGAGGUGCGAAAGCG